AAAUCUUUGUACAACUUUAUUUCUGGUCACAACGAAUUUAUUACUAAUCUCCCAGAAUGAAAAAAAGAACAGUUUCAUGCUGAAGUUAUAAAAUUGAAAAAUAUACAGUUAUAACAGAUGUGUGGAUAUACAGAUAUAUGGAUAUGUGGAUUUUAAGAUAUAUGGAUUUGUGGAUGUACAGAUGUAUGGAUGUGCAGAUAUGGAUAUGUGGAUAUACAGAUAUAUGGAUGUACAGAUAUGGAUAUGUGGAUAUACAGACAUAUGGAUGUACAGAUAUGGAUAUGUGGAUAUACAGAAUGAAAUGGUUAACAAUUACUACUAGAAGAUUUUUGACGCAAGGCAUAUCAUGUAUCUCCCGUGACGAAAAAGGAUAUAUUCUUCUACGAGUGCAUGCUAAACCUGGGGCAAAGAAAAACAAAAUUGCAGGAUGUAUCCUUGUUUUAUACGACAUCGAUGAGAAAAAUGUGCACGAACUUGCUAAUUCAUUAAAUUCAAACAAUAAAAAAACAGUAGCAUACGCGUAUAAAUGCGACAUAACCAAUCACAAUGAAGUAGAAAGUGUGUCAAACCACGUGAUCAACAACAUAGGGCAUCCAACAAUGCUUAUCAACAAUGCAGGCGUAGUGGCGGGAAAGUAUUUCACAGAAUUGACAAGCGCUGAUAUAUCGCGUACAUUUGAAGUGAAUGUGAUUUCGCACUAUACCUUAGUGAAGACAUUUUUACCGCACAUGUUAGAACAGAAUCAUGGUCAUAUUGUUUGUGUAUCCUCCAUUUUAGCCUUGGAUUCUUUAAGUGGCGUUUCAGAUUAUGGUCCAUCUAAAGCAGCAGCGUCUGUUUUCAUGCGUGCAUUGAGACAAGAAAUUCGAUUGCUUGGAAAAAAUAUCCAUUGUACAUCUAUAUUUCCAUACCAAAUCCACACUGAUAUGUUCAAAGGUUGCGCUGCACGAUUCUCAUAUGUACCAUUUUUAAACGUCCUCGAUCCGGAUUACGUAACAACAAAGAUGGUAGACGCUAUACAAAAAAACCAAAUCGUGCUUUACAUACCAAGAAUUUUAUACGCAGCAAUUGCUGUUAUGAAUGUAUUGCCAGUGUGUGCAUACGAUGCUUUAUAUGACUUUCUUCACACGAACACUGCUAUGAGAACAUGGGUGGGAAAAGGAAAGAAAGAAGAGUAGAAAAAAGCUGGACUGGUUUGUUUUUAUCAGUAAACAUGUUGCUUCCCGAAAUAGCUUCACAAUAUCUUUCAACAACAAAGUCAAAACGUGAAUAUCUAUGCCGAUAAAAAUGAUGCAAAAUGGAGCACUCCAUCGUCGAGCCCCAGUAACCCCCAGGGAAUCCUCAAUGAAGAAAUACCGAUAAUAAUAUAUCUUACAUGUAUUAUAAUUUUUAUAAAAUGAUUUUAAUACAAAUACAAAAGAGAUUUUUAAAAUUGAAUGUAUGAAAAACAUUAGUAAAGUAAGAUUGAACAUUAUUACGCUGCGGACAAUAUUAGAGCUAGCGCUAAAAGUGACUACAGCUGGCUAAAUUUAAAUACGGUUGCCAAAAUAAGGUACGGCUAGAUAAUAUUAAGGUACGGCUGGGUCUUAUCAUAUAAGAAACAAUUUCAAAUGCUAAAAACGUUCAAUAAAAACGAAAUUAUGUUAGGUACGGGUAGCCAAAAUAAGGUACGGCUGGAAAAUAUUAAGGUACGGCUGGGUCCUAUCAUAUAAGAAACAACUUCAAAUGCUACAAAUGUUCAAUAAAAACGAAAUUAUGUUAGGUACGGCUAGUCAAAAUAAGGUACGGCUGGACCAUAUUAAGGUACGGCUGGGUCCUAUCAUAUAAGAAACAACUUCAAAAGCUAAAAACAUUCAAUAAAAACAAAAUUAAGUUAGGUACGGCUAACCAAAAUAAGGUACGGCUGGACAAUAUUAAGGUACGGCUGGGACCUAUCAUAUAAGAAACAACUUCAAAUGCUAAAAACGUUCAAUAAAAACGAAAUUAAGUUAGGUACGGCUAGCUAAAAUAAGGUACGGCUGGACCAUAUUAAGGUAAGGCUGGAUUUUAUUAUAUAAGAAACAACUUCAAAUGCUAAAAAAAAAUUAAUAUAAACGAAAAGCAAUAAGUACGUAGAAGGAGUAGAGUUUACUGGAAAGUAAAGUGUGGGCGAGGUUAAGAAAAAAAUUGUAUGCAAUAUGCUCUACUAGGUUGGCUCCACAUUGUUUUCUGCACAGGAAAAUAAAAAAAUGCUACUUUGAAAGUGAUGCGGUAAAUCUUCUGUCUAACUGAGGUAUAGACAGUGAAUGUCUGAAUAAGGAGUAGAAUUAACGUUUUCGCCAGUUGAAGGACACACGCGUUUUUAUUCGUUGGAUGUUAUAGUUAAUGGAAGAGAUGUAAACUUUUUAUAUAAAACAAAAGAACUUUUAAAAAAUUUUAAUAUUCGUUGUUGUUUAUGAGUGCACGUUAUUUUAAUGAUGGAAAACGAUAAGAAAAAGGAAGAACAUAAUAAAGCCGCGAACAAUGUGUGAGUAAAGGUUUUUGAUUUUUAAUUUUGAUUGUGUUAACUGUGUCCCGAUUUAAUUCAGCAUAUACACUUUUUAUAAAAACAAUUUUUUAUAAGAACAAUAAGGUUAAAAAUUAUUGACAAAUAAGAACGAAAUAACAACUAUACUCAAGGGCAAAAUUUUACUGAUUUUUCUAAAAACAACCAACAAACAUAAAGAAAUAUUUCUUGACAGAAUUAAAAUGAGAAUGCGCUAACACAUUAACAAAUAAGAUGAAAAAUAAUAACCAAGAGAAUCCAAGUCUAGGUGGUUUUUACAAAAAAAACUGUCACUUCAUUCCUCACACACUCUUUUUUUCUAUUACAAGAGCAAAAUAUACACUACUAUUUUCUAUUUUCAACACCUAAAAAAUAUUUUAUGCUCAGAUGAAGUACACUUCUUGGCAUACUAGUUUAAACAUGCAAAAUCACGCCUGGUAUUUUCGGUAUGUUGUCAAAUGUGGUCAGCCCGUGUUAUGAGUUGUCCUUAUUGAAGCAGAAUGCGGAGAUUUUGAUUCUGAUAAGAAAAAGUAGCGAGAAGUUGGGACCGAGGAACAGUCAUACAUAAUGGCAGAUGAUUCUCCAUUUAAAAAACAUUACACGCAAUUGUACUACACAAAAAAAGCUGUUAUCGAAAAGCAAGUUCAUGAAGACAAGGUUUCAAAUUUGUUCUCGCCAACAUUAUGCAACAUUAUGCUGGCAUCGUGGGUCAUUUUGCUGCGUUCUUGCUUUUAAUUCACCAACUGAUUUCGAUAACCAGAGCUUAGAAUCGAUGUUGGCGAAGACAGCAAUAAAAGAUAAGAAAAGCUUAAGGACUGACUUGGUGUUCCUUGUACUUCCAUAUGGUAUUCUUUUAAUUGAUAUCAACGAAGUCAAAUUUUACAAUAUUGGCAAUGAAACGUUUUUGAAUUCAAGUUAGUUUUAUUGUUACUUCACUGCUAUUUUGUAGCGUUUUUAAACUUUUUAAAUGUAAUGAGGUUAUAAGGCUAAAAGUGUUCUUGAAGCGUUCUUUAAAGUCAGGAAACAGGUAACACAGGUUCUUUGAUUUUUGUGACAAAUGUUCUUACCUACUAAGAUACUGUUCUUAACUUGUUCUAAAUUUUAACCUAGAAAUGCAUUAUGUUGUUUUACGGCUUUACAUGCGUACACGUUCGUUCUAGUAAAAUGAUUUAAAGCAGUAGGAGAUGUUUUUUGAAAAGCAUAAAUAUAAUUUCUUCUUAUUUUCUAUUUCAGGUGUGACAUUUGUAAAACUUAUUCAUUUUGCAAAUGUUCUUUAUUUACAAAGGACAGGGAUC